rnacentral:rRNA from 1 species
GUACCUGUAGACCUUGUUGUGGAUCAUUCAGUACAAGUUGAUGUGGCAAGAUCGGAGAAUGCUGUUCAGGCAAAUAUGGAGCUUGAGUUCAGCCGUAACAAGGAGCGGUUUGGAUUUUUGAAAUGGGGUUCCACUGCAUUCAAUAACAUGCUUGUUGUUCCACCUGGAUCUGGAAUUGUUCACCAGGUGAAUCUUGAAUAUCUGGCCAGGGUUGUCUUCAACAAUGGUGGGAUACUUUACCCUGAUAGUGUUGUCGGUACAGAUUCGCACACAACUAUGAUAGAUGGUCUUGGUGUUGCUGGAUGGGGAGUUGGUGGUAUAGAGGCAGAAGCUACGAUGCUUGGGCAGCCAAUGAGCAUGGUCUUGCCAGCAGUUGUUGGUUUCAAGUUAUCAGGGAAGCUGAGGAAUGGAGUUACAGCCACAGACUUGGUUCUAACAGUAACUCAAAUGCUUAGGAAACAUGGUGUUGUUGGGAAGUUUGUUGAAUUUUAUGGGGGAGGUAUGGGUGAACUAUCACUUGCUGAUAGGGCUACUAUCGCCAACAUGGCACCAGAAUAUGGUGCAACUAUGGGUUUCUUCCCAGUUGAUGCAAAGACAUUGGACUACCUGAAGCUAACUGGCAGAAGUGAUGAAACUGUGGCCAUGAUAGAGACUUACCUGCGUGCCAAUAAUAUGUUCGUCGACUACAAGCAGGUUCAAGCUGAAAGAGUGUAUUCAUCUUAUCUGGAACUUGACUUGGAUGAGGUGGAACCAUGUCUGUCCGGACCAAAACGGCCUCAUGAUAGAGUGACAUUGAAGAACAUGAAGUCAGAUUGGCUUUCUUGCCUGGACAACAAAGUAGGGUUCAAGGGUUUUGCUGUCCCCAAGGAAUCGCAGGGUAAAGUUGCUGAGUUUUCGUUCCGUGGGACGCCAGCAAAGAUAAAGCAUGGUGAUGUUGUAAUUGCGGCUAUCACCAGUUGCACCAACACAUCAAAUCCUAAUGUGAUGCUGGGAGCUGCUUUGGUUGCCAAAAAGGCUUGUGACCUAGGCCUGGAGGUGAAACCAUGGAUUAAGACAAGUCUUGCGCCAGGUUCUGGUGUUGUGAAGAAGUACUUGGACAAGAGCGGUCUGCAGAAGUAUCUUAACCAGCUUGGUUUCAAUAUUGUUGGCUAUGGGUGUACAACCUGCAUAGGAAACUCUGGAGAUCUUGAUGAAUCCGUAGCUGCUGCAAUUACCGACAAUGAUGUUGUUGCUGCUGCUGUGUUGUCUGGGAACAGGAAUUUCGAAGGCCGUGUACAUGCAUUGACCCGAGCAAAUUAUCUCGCAUCUCCUCCAUUGGUUGUGGCCUAUGCCCUUGCUGGCACGGUUAAUAUUGAUUUUGAGAAAGAACCAGUAGGCAUCUCAAAGGAUGGGAAGGAGGUUUACUUCAGGGAUAUUUGGCCUACCACUGAUGAGAUUGCUGAGGUUGUUAAGGCGAGUGUGCUCCCAGACAUGUUCAAGGGCACAUAUGAGGCAAUCACCAAAGGAAAUCCUAUGUGGAAUGAGCUGCCAGUAUCAGCAAGCACUCUCUACCCAUGGGAUCCAAAAUCAACAUACAUCCACGAGCCUCCUUAUUUCAAGGAUAUGACAAUGACCCCUCCUGGCGCACGGCCUGUGAAGGAUGCGUAUUGUCUUCUUAACUUCGGUGACAGUAUCACAACUGAUCACAUAUCCCCAGCUGGAAGCAUCCACCCAGACAGCCCAGCUGCCAAAUAUCUAAAGGAGCGCAAUGUUGAAAGGAAGGACUUCAACUCAUAUGGCAGUCGACGAGGGAACGAUGAGAUCAUGGCUAGGGGAACUUUUGCCAACAUUCGUAUUGUGAACAAGUUCUUGAAGGGAGAGGUUGGCCCCCAAACCAUCCAUGUACCAUCAGGGGAGAAGCUUGCUGUUUUUGAUGCUGCUAUGAAAUACAAGAACGAAGGGCAUGACACUAUCAUCCUGGCUGGUGCUGAGUAUGGCAGUGGAAGCUCAAGGGAUUGGGCUGCGAAGGGUCCAAUGCUUCAGGGAGUGAAGGCUGUGAUAGCCAAGAGUUUUGAGAGGAUUCACCGUAGCAAUCUCGCUGGAAUGGGCAUCGUCCCUCUAUGCUUCAAGGCUGGGGAGGAUGCCGACACUCUUGGCUUAACAGGCCAUGAGCGCUACACCAUCCAGCUUCCGACUGAUGUGAAUGAAAUCAAGCCUGGCCAAGAUGUUACGGUCACAACCGACAACGGCAAGUCGUUCACCUGCACACUCCGCUUUGACACUGAGGUGGAGCUUGCUUACUACACCCAUGGUGGUAUUCUACCAUAUGUCAUCCGAAAGAUCGCAGCCGAGCAAUAG